UACGGGGUGGGCAAGCGUUGUUCGGAAUUACUGGGCGUAAAGGGCUCGUAGGCGGCCAACUAAGUCAGACGUGAAAUCCCUCGGCUUAACCGGGGAACUGCGUCUGAUACUGGAUGGCUUGAGUUCGGGAGAGGGAUGCGGAAUUCCCAGUGUAGCGGUGAAAUGCGUAGAUAUUGGGAAGAACACCUGAGGCGAAGGCGGGUUGCUGGGCUGAUACUGACGCUGAGGCGCGAAAGCCAGGGGAGCAAACGGG
rnacentral:rRNA from 1 species